rnacentral:lncRNA from 1 species
GCUCUGGGGACGGCGGGGCUGCCGCGUCAGACGGGGCUGCUUUGUGGGCUGUGGGGCAGACGACCUGGGAGUCCCAAGAGGAUCUCGAAGGCUCGGUUGUGGCCCGCAGAGGCCUCGGACUGGCGAGUCACAUGUGUGCAAAGAACACCAGAGCAGUUGGUGCUGCAUUUAUUAGAGUGACUUUGGCCCUUGAGGCCAUCCCCCAGAUAAACUGACCAGUGAAACAACUUGAGGGAU